rnacentral:lncRNA from 1 species
CUCUUCCAAUGUGCUCGACAUGCACCGCACGCUUCGCACCAGAUAAUGAACCACCGCUCGGCGACGGCCCGAUCCCUUCUCCAUCGAGUGAGCGAGGAAACUACGGAAGUGGCGGUUUUUCAUCGUCGCAAACGCGCGCGACACCCCGACGCAAUCGAAACCAUGACCC